UGGGGAAUAUUGCACAAUGGGGGAAACCCUGAUGCAGCGACGCCGCGUGAACGAAGAAGGUAUUCGUAUCGUAAAGUUCUGUCCUAUGGGAAGAUAAUGACAGUACCAUAGAAGAAAGCUCCGGCUAAAUACGUGCCAGCAGCCGCGGUAAUACGUAUGGAGCGAGCGUUGUCCGGAAUUAUUGGGCGUAAAGGGUACGCAGGCGGUUUAAUAAGUCGAAUGUUAAAGAUCGGGGCUCAACCCCGCAAAGCAUUGGAAACUGAUAAACUUGAGUAGUGGAGAGGAAAGUGGAAUUCCUAGUGUAGUGGUGAAAUGCGUAGAUAUUAGGAGGAAUACCGGUCGCGAAGGCGACUUUCUGGACACAAACUGACGCUGAGGUACGAAAGCGUGGGGAGCAAACAGG
rnacentral:rRNA from 1 species